rnacentral:rRNA from 1 species
CUUUGGGAUAACUUCAGGAAACGUGGGGCUAAUACCGGAUAGGAGCUCCUGCUUCAUGGUGGGGGUUGUAAAGUUUCGGCGGUUGGGGAUGGACUCGCGGCUUAUCAGCUUGUUGGUGGGGUAGUGGCUUACCAAGGCUUUGACGGGUAGCCGGCCUGAGAGGGUGACCGGCCACAUUGGGACUGAGAUACGGCCCAG